rnacentral:rRNA from 1 species
CCCAGACUCCUACGGGAGGCAGCAGUGGGGAAUAUUGCACAAUGGGCGCAAGCCUGAUGCAGCCAUGCCGCGUGUAUGAAGAAGGCCUUCGGGUUGUAAAGUACUUUCAGCGGGGAGGAAGGUGUUGUGGUUAAUAACCACAGCAAUUGACGUUACCCGAAGAAGAAGCACCGGCUAACUCCGUGCCAGCAGCCGCGGUAAUACGGAGGGUGCAAGCGUUAAUCGGAAUUACUGGGCGUAAAGCGCACGCAGGCGGGCUGUCAAGUCGGGUGUGAAAUCCCCGGGCGCAACCUGGGGACUGCAUUCGAAACUGGGUGGCUGGAGGCUUGUAGAGGGGGGUAGAAUUCCAGGUGUAGCGGUGAAAUGCGUAGAGAUUAGGAGGAAUACCGGUGGCGAAGGCGGCCCCCUGGACAAAGACUGACGCUCAGGUGCGAAAGCGUGGGGAGCAAACAGGAUUAGAUACCCCAGUAUGC